GCCGACGUACCCAAGUGGUUGAAGGGGCCGGAUUUGUAAUCCGGUUGCGAAAGCACAUCGUGGGUUCGAAUCCCACCGUCGGCU
rnacentral:tRNA from 1 species